rnacentral:rRNA from 2 species
GUGGAUUAGUGGCGAACGGGUGAGUAACACGUGGGCAAUCUGCCCUUCACUCUGGGACAAGCCCUGGAAAUGGGGUCUAAUACCGGAUAAUACCUUCUCCUGCAUGGGAGGGGGUUGAAAGCUCCGGCGGUGAAGGAUGAGCCCGCGGCCUAUCAGCUUGUUGGUGGGGUGAUGGCCUACCAAGGCGACGACGGGUAGCCGGCCUGAGAGGGCGACCGGCCACACUGGGACUGAGACACGGCCCAGACUCCUACGGGAGGCAGCAGUGGGGAAUAUUGCACAAUGGGCGAAAGCCUGAUGCAGCGACGCCGCGUGAGGGAUGACGGCCUUCGGGUUGUAAACCUCUUUCAGCAGGGAAGAAGCGCAAGUGACGGUACCUGCAGAAGAAGCACCGGCUAACUACGUGCCAGCAGCCGCGGUAAUACGUAGGGUGCGAGCGUUGUCCGGAAUUAUUGGGCGUAAAGAGCUCGUAGGCGGCUUGUCACGUCGGUUGUGAAAGCCCGGGGCUUAACCCCGGGUCUGCAGUCGAUACGGGCAGGCUAGAGUGUGGUAGGGGAGAUCGGAAUUCCUGGUGUAGCGGUGAAAUGCGCAGAUAUCAGGAGGAACACCGGUGGCGAAGGCGGAUCUCUGGGCCAUUACUGACGCUGAGGAGCGAAAGCGUGGGGAGCGAACAGGAUUAGAUACCCUGGUAGUCCACGCCGUAAACGUUGGGAACUAGGUGUUGGCGACAUUCCACGUCGUCGGUGCC